CGCGGCCACUCAUCUUCUAUUCCCAUUUAUCUUGCCAUUUAUUCCCCUCCCAUCCUUUUCCAGUACAGGUCCCGCAUACACCCUUCAUCCUGUGUUGCAUCCGGCCGCCUCCAAAUCCUACUGACCAUGCUCUUCAUCCAUCCACUCCUUCCCCACUAGAACGGAUAUGUUGCGAAUUGUUAGACAAAAAUCGAAUUUCUCCCCUUGCAGCCUUGCCGGAAGACAAUGUAUCGAUGCUGACUCAGGGGAAAAAAUCCGACAGACAUGCACAGGUGAGUUUCCAAUCUCUCGAUCUUGCAAAUUUGCUUCUGAUCUCUCAACACUACCUUGAGCUCUGCUUAAAGCAGAGCGUCCAACGUUGGUCAGAGGAGGGACUUAUUUCAUGCAUGGUGGCGUUGGCAACUACAACAACAGCUAUCCUUAAUAGUUUUGAUUAUGGUUCUAUCAGUUUAUUACUCAAAACAAAUCGAGCUGCUGCCGGAUGCUCCUCUCGAUGCAGCUGCGCCAAUGCAGGCCCUUUAGGAAUUCGCCAACAUCCGCCCUCUAAUCCGGUUGCAAUGAUAGGAUACAACGGUAAUUGGCAUGUCAAUGCACUUAUCUAUGCUUCGCCCGAAAGGCCUUUCAAAUUAUCUUUUAUUAAGCAUCAUCACAGCAGUCUGAAAUAACAUAGGCUUCAUUUAUAAUUGGUUAAGUAGAAUCCAUCUGUGAAUCCAAUAUUCUGCAACAUUUUCAUUGGGGAUUCUUUCUGAAACAUUUAUCAUUGAGUCCGUCUUAUGACAGCUCCAGCCUACCUAUGUUUGAGCUAUUUAUUUUUGAUUUUUUACCAACAGAUUAGAACACCAAGAACCACCUCAAUGUCAAGGAUGUAUCAUGUUACUCAUUCUCUCAAAAAUAUUAUAUUUCCCGAUAUGUUUAAUAGAGUAUUGUAUGUUCUUAACAGGAAGUCCAGAAGGUAUGCCAUUCCAAGCCCCUUUCUCUCUCAUUCAUUUUGCUACGGUGUUGUUUAUGCGGCAAGUGCUUUAUAUUGUUUGACUGCUUAUGCCCAUGAUUGAUACUCCACUUACAUUUAACUUUUACCAUCCUUUUAGGUCACCUACAUUUUAAUUGGUUUGUUCGUUCAUAAAUUUACGAUUCUCAACAUUUGAGUUGGAGAAUUUAUCAUGUUAAGCAGCAACAUACAGGCAAGGCAUUGACAAAACCAGUAGUAUAUUUUUCUAUGUUAUGUUACUAAUUAAUUAAUUCUCCUUUUUUUUGGAUCAUGACAUCUACUUUGGAUCUUCAGUUUGUACCGUCCUUUUCAGCUAGCAACUUUUGCCCUACCAAUACUGGCUUUGCUGGAGCAUGGCACACCACUAAUACACUCAUAAAAGUAUUAUUAUUUUUGCAUCCCUUUCUCUGUUAGUUUGCAUGCUGAAGCAUAGAAAAUAAUAUGCAGAUUUGUAUUGGUGAUAAGACAUUGUUUUAUAUGCAAUAAAAAUCUUCAUCUAUCGAUUGUGGCAUUUUUGUACCAUGUUUCAGCUCAACAUAUUGUUCACCAUAGUGUUCUCUCUUAUGUGCAAUGUGCUCUUCAUCAAGUUGUAUUCUCAUAGUUGAUGUUCCGGAGAGCUACCCACUCAAAUUUUUGACUGAUUUCCUUGCAUUAUUCCUUCAACUAUUUUAAUGCUACUACAGACCAGACAAGAAGGUAUUUAUCCAACUCUGUAAUAUAAAAUGGUUAAUCAUGUUUCAAAUUUAUUAUUCAUCAAUUGCUUAUUGAGCUUGCUUUGACCAAAAUUUUCUGAUAUACAGAUGAGUCAUUAGACUGCAAAACACUGCCCGUGCGUGUUUUAGAUUAGUCUUAUUAGCUGAACGGAUGGAUCACCCCACCUGAGCGCAUGCUACCAUUUCGUGUAAAAUGUAUUGUUUAUGUUAGCGCAACCGAGCUCAUUAAUUCUCUGCAUACCAUUUUUCUCUCCUCAUUGACCAUUUUCUUUAUAAAGUUCAUACACUGCAAUUGUUAUUGGUAGCCUCUUAUCUCUGAUGUCCUGCUGCAACGCGCGGGGUAUCA